rnacentral:rRNA from 1 species
CGCCUCUUGCUUCAGUGAAUAAGAGGUCACGCCUGCCCUGUGACUAUAUGUUUAACGGCCGCGGUAUUUUGACCGUGCAAAGGUAGCGCAAUCACUUGUCCUUUAAAUGUGGACCUGUAUGAAUGGCAUAACGAGGGCUUAGCUGUCUCCUUUCUCAAGUCAAUGAACUUGAUCUCCCCGUGCAGAAGCGGGGAUAAAACCAUAAGACGAGAAGACCCUAUGGAGCUUUAGACAAAAACAGCCCCUGUCAAUAAACCCUAAAUAAAGGAAAUAAACCUAGUGACCCUGUUUUAAUGUCUUUGGUUGGGGCGACCGCGGGGUAACAAAAAACCCCCAUGUGGAAUGAAAACACCCUUUUUAAAACCAAGAGUCACCACUCUAAGUUACAGAACAUCUGACCAAUAAUGAUCCGGCUAAAGCCGAUUAACGAACCGAGUUACCCUAGGGAUAACAGCGCAAUCCUCUUUUAGAGUCCAUAUCGACAAGAGGGUUUACGACCUCGAUGUUGGAUCAGGACAUCCCAAUGGUGCAGCCGCUAUUAAAGGUUCGUUUGUUCAACGAUUAAAGUCCU